AUCUGUAGCCAUACUACCCUGAACGCGCCCGAUCUUGUCUGAUCUCGGAAGCUAAGCAGGGUCUGGCCUGGUUAGUAUUUGGAUGGAAGGGUGACAGACACCCGAGGGGCACCGGCUG
rnacentral:rRNA from 1 species